rnacentral:rRNA from 1 species
AGUGAACGCUGGCGGUAGGCCUAACACAUGCGAGUCGAACGGCAGCACAGGAGAGCUUGCUCUCUGGGUGGCGAGUGGCGGACGGGUGAGGAAUACAUCGGAAUCUACCUUUUCGUGGGGGAUAACGUAGGGAAACUUACGCUAAUACCGCAUACGACCUACGGGUGAAAGUGGGGGACCGCAAGGCCUCACGCGAUUAGAUGAGCCGAUGUCCGAUUAGCUAGUUGGCGGGGUAAUGGCCCACCAAGGCGACGAUCGGUAGCUGGUCUGAGAGGAUGAUCAGCCACACUGGAACUGAGACACGGGCCAGACUCCUACGGGAGGCAGCAGUGGGGAAUAUUGGACAGUGGGCGCAAGCCUGAUCCAGCCAUACCGCGUGGGUGAAGAAGGCCUUCGGGUUGUAAAGCCCUUUUGUUGGGAAAGAAAUCCUGUCGAUUAAUACUCGGUGGGGAUGACGGUACCCAAAGAAUAAGCACCGGCUAACUUCGUGCCAGCCGCCGCAGUAAAAC